GGGCCCGUGGCGUAGUGGUAGCGCGUGAGAUUCCAGUCUUAUUUGGAGAUCCUCAAGGUCAUCCGUUCGACCCGGGUCGGGCUCA